AUACGUAGGUGGCAAGCGUUGUCCGGAAUUAUUGGGCGUAAAGCGCAUGUAGGCGGUUUGGUAAGUCGGUCGUGAAAAUGCGGUGCUUAACGCCGUAUGGCGAUUGAAACUGCUGAACUUGAGUGCAGGAGAGGAAAGGGGAAAUCCCAGUGUAGCGGUGAAAUGCGUAGAUAUUGGGAAGAACACCGGUGGCGAAGGCGCCUUUCUGGACUGUGUCUGACGCUCAGAUGCGAAAGCCAGGGUAGCGAACGGGAUUAGAUACCCCGGUAGUCCUGGCCGUAAACGAUGGGUACUAGGUGUGGGAGGUAUCGACUCCUUCCGUGCCGGAGUUAACGCAAUAAGUACCCCGCCUGGGGAGUACGGCCGCAAGGCUUAAACUCAAAUGAAUUGACGGGG
rnacentral:rRNA from 1 species